CAAAUAACAUGUGGAGACCUGAUUGGCAACACCAGGUACAAUUUGGUAAUAUUCUCUGGAAAUGAUCCAACUCUAUAACGACAAUAUUUACUCUCUUUAGUUCUCUGGAAGUGACCUGGAUUUCAAUAACUGUAAUAAGCCAAGAACCAGCCCCCCUUUCUCUCAUCCAGCGUGUCUCAAUCCUAUAAAAGCAGAACUAUCCCUCCACUCUGUACUACAACACCUGUUCACUAUUACCUUCAAGAGCUCCACUGCACCAAGGAAGAACACAGACACAGCAGUAAUGGAUAGGUGUAUACCACACUGUGGGGACAAAAACAAAGGUAGUUCCAUUGGCAACGUACAUGGAGGUGGAGGCAAUGCGAACAUUGGCAAUGCAUCAGGAGGUGGAGGAAGUCACAUUGGCAACGUACACGGUGGUGGAGGCAAUGCGAACAUUGGCAAUGCAUCAGGAGGUGGAGGAAGUCACAUUGGCGACGUACACGGUGGUGGAGGCAACAAGGACAUUGGCAAUGUAUCAGGAGGUGGAGGAAGUCACAUUGGCAACAUAGAUGGGGGUGGAGGCAACACCGGCAUUGGCAACGUUGGAAAAUAAUCUGGAUGCCAUUAGGGCCGCUUCACCAAAAGCCUGUCAACAUCCCUGCUCACUCUGGGUUGAAGAUUAUGAAAACUGGGUGCAUAUUCAUGUUCUUAGUUCUAUCAGAUUCACUCUAGGAGUAUGGUUUUAAUCAGCAUUGUAACCGUUCUUGUUUUUGUCAAAUAAAUAAAUGUUACAACACUGA
ensembl:lncRNA